UGGGAGAUCUUCAGCUCAGCCAUUUCUAAAAAUUUCAGCCUAUUGCAUACUGGGUGAGAGCAUCCCGCUUCUGAAAACCCAGUCAGAAGCAUAGCAGAAAAGUCAGAGCGCAUCCUGAGCACUGGAUCCUAUGUGGAACAAAAGCUCAAAAUAACGGUACAAAUGAUGCUGAAUCAAGUUUGCAGUCAGCUUAGACAAGAAGCCUGGCCUGGCCAGUAGCCAGCCACUGGUCUGGGAGUCCUGGUUUGCAAGUGUUUGUGAUCAGAUGAUGCGAAACUAGUGCUCAGAAAGAUGUGCAAGACCUGAAACACUCAUAAGACCUUGCCGGUUCUGAAAUCCUGCACGUCGAUACCUUAUCGCCUCGUCUAUUUAGAUAACGAAAGCAAAACUGUUCUGUUGUUUAGGCAAUUAAAACAUCAGUAAAUAACACAGCUGCAAAUAUUUUUGUGCCACCAAGGAGGCUGUUGCAGAGUUUGCUGCUGCCAGCUUUGUUGAAGCAGCUCCUGCAUCCAUGUUCUAGAGGAGUCA
rnacentral:lncRNA from 1 species